rnacentral:lncRNA from 1 species
AAACAUUUUCAUUGCUUGGAAAAAAAGUUACAACCAUACAAGGUCAAUUCAUGGUCAAAACACCAAAAAUACAUUACAAAAAAAGUCAGAAGUGGAAACUAUACAAAAAAACCCCUAAAUUUGACCUAAAGUUAACUUUUUAGUCAAGUGUUGACUUUUGGUCAGACAGUUGAUCAAAGUCAACUUAACCUUAGACCUAUUUCUUUCUUCAUCUUCAUGAUGCCCACUUUGAUCUCUCAUCUUUCUUAAUUUCCAUUCCAAAACUCUAUCAUGAUGCACUUUCAUGUUAUCUUCAUGUUCAAGUCUCUUCAUGCCAUGCCAUGACUUCCCUUCUUUUUCUUUUUCACCAUGUUAUACCAAGCCUAAAAGAGCCUUGCAACAUCACCAUUCAUCACACCAUGUUAUUCCAAACACAGAGAAAUGGAAUACACUCAAUUAAAUGCACACACACAUCAUGCCAAUAACAUACACAUACAAUAGAACACAUCAUGCAUUAUUUUUAUAAUAAUGCAAGCAUAUGUCAGUCCAAACCAGUUACAAUUCAUUACAUUCAAUUCCAUACAACGCACAUCAAAUUCCUCCAUACAAAAACAACUUAUAUAUAUCAACAUACCAAGUAUACAUGAACAUGAGGCUACAUACAACAUAUCAACAUACAAGAAUGCAUCAAGACAAAUUCCAUAUUCAAUGCAUCAAACAUGAACAAGCUCAUAACAACAACACCCAUACAUUUGCACAUACAAAAUACCAUACCACCAUGACAGUUUCAUGACAUAACGAAUUAUCCUAACAACUCAUCAUAUUCAUAACAGUCACCACUCUAAUCAUCUAACCUUAAGCUAAUUGUCGAAAUUUAGUCAUCUAACACUAAUAACCAUUAAGCUCCUAAAAUACAAUAGUUAAUCAAUGCACAACACCAAUGAAGCAUAGUCACAUACAACAUAUAAACAACUUUACUUCAGACUAGCAUACCAACUGUAACUAACCAUUAACAUUCACUAAUCCCAUUCAAACAUAACUAACCAAUUUUCCUAAUUUCUAACUGAAUUCCCACCAUUCAAAUUCACAUAACAGUUUCAAUAACAUAACAAUUAGAUCCAUAUUCUAAUUCAUUCUAAGCUAACAUAUAACCUCUAAUAGAAUUUAAACAGAAAACUAACAUUACUGACAUCCUAACCAAUUAACUUUCAGUUUAACAAACCUCAAUCAAUUUUCUAACUACACUAACUGAUUCAGUUUUUAACAGAAAUCUAACUCUGUUAAAUUCAAACUAACUUUCUCAUUGAAUUUUCUAACAGUUAACAGUUGCCCUAACUUGUAACUGCCACUGCCCGAAACCUUGCCCAUAUCGGUUAGAAUCUCUCGUCUAUAUAUUAUAACAUUCAUCUUCAUAAUAAAGGGACUUCAUCACUCUCAUCACCCUCACUCUUUGAACUCUCUCUACAAAACGAUCACAAUCAAACAGUCUCAUUCUACCAAAAAACCCUGCAAAUUCUCACCCUCUUAUUCCACUCUCUCUCUGAAUCACUCUCUGCAAUUCCAUUCUCUACAAACCAUUCUUCUUCAAGCUUCAUCAUCAAUUACUCUCUGCAUCACUCUCCAUCACACAAACACAAGAACAACACAGAGUAACAGCAGAAUUCGAUUUCCUACAUGCUAAGUUCGAGGCAGAAGAAGAAGAGGAGGUUUUUGCAGAAGAAAAAAGGAAGAGUAUUUAAAUUACAUACCUCUGGAUUUAUCUUUGUGACAUGCAUAUUCAUCCUCUUUUCAUUCCAAUAAUCU